rnacentral:lncRNA from 1 species
GAUUUUUGAUUAUGGGCCCAGUUUUCAAGUUGGUCCAAAUCAGGAUUCCAUAUCAAGUAUUGUGCAAUAGCAAGAAAUUUUCAAUUGCACAGUAUUGCACAAUAGCAAGAAAUAUCUAAUUGCACAAUAUUGUGCAAUAGCAAUUAAUUUUCAAUUGGAGUUAUCUUUCUUUGUAUAUAAUAGUAGUUGAUAAUAUAUGUUGGAAAUUUGCCAGACAUGACUAUG